GGUUAAUUAUAUUAAAACUAUACAGAGAAGAUCAGCAUGACCCCUGCACAAGGAUAUCACACAAGUUUGUGAGACAUUCUAUAUAGUU
rnacentral:snRNA from 1 species